rnacentral:misc_RNA from 1 species
GAACUGCGAUAAGUAAUGUGAAUUGCAGAAUUCAGUGAAUCAUCGAGUCUUUGAACGCACAUUGCGCCCCCUGGCAUUCCGGGGGGCAUGCCUGUCCGAGCGUCAUUGCUGCCCUUCAAGCCCGGCUUGUGUGUUGGGUCGUCGUCCCCUCCGGUGGACGGGCCCGAAAGGCAGCGGCGGCACCGCGUCCGGUCCUCGAGCGUAUGGGGCUUUGUCACCCGCUCGAUAAGGACCGGCCGGGCGCCAGCCGGCGUCUCCAACCUUUUUUUCUCAGGUUGACCUCGGAUCAGGUAGGGAUACCCGCUGAACUUAAGC